CCUACGGGCGGCUGCAGUGAGGAAUAUUGGUCAAUGGCCGGAAGGCUGAACCAGCCAUGCCGCGUGAAGGUCAGUGCCCUAUGGGCGUUAAACUUCUUUUGUGCGGGAGCAAUAAUGGUCACGUGUGGCCAGACGAGAGUUCCGUACGAAUAAGCAUCCGCUAACUCCGUGCCAGCAGCCGCGGUAAUACGGGGGAUGCAAGCGUUAUCCGGAGUUAUUGGGUUUAAAGGGUGCGUAGGGUGUGAGGUAAGUCAGCGGGGAAAUGCCCCCGGUCAACGGGGUGGAGUGCCAUUGAUACUGCCUUGCUGGAAUGCGGAUGCCGUGGGAGGAAUGUGUGGUGUAGCGGUGAAAUGCAUAGAUAUCACACAGAACACCGAUUGCGAAGGCAUCUCACGAAUCCGCGAUUGACGCUGAUGCACGAAAGCGUGGGUAUCAAACAGGAUUAGAUACCCUUGUAGUC
rnacentral:rRNA from 1 species